rnacentral:rRNA from 1 species
CGGAGGAUCCAAGCGUUAUCCGGAAUCAUUGGGUUUAAAGGGUCCGUAGCGGGUUUAUAAGUCAGUGGUGAAAGCCCAUCGCUCAACGAUGGAACGGCCAUUGAUACUGUAGAUCUUGAAUUAUUAGGAAGUAACUAGAAUAUGUAGUGUAGCGGUGAAAUGCUUAGAGAUUACAUGGAAUACCAAUUGCGAAGGCAGGUUACUACUAAUGGAUUGACGCUGAUGGACGAAAGCGUGGGUAGCGAACAGGAUUAGAUACCCUGGUAGUCCACGCCGUAAACGAUGGAUACUAGCUGUUCGGAGCAAUCCGAGUGGCUAAGCGAAAGUGAUAAGUAUCCCACCUGGGGAGUACGUUCGCAAGAAUG